rnacentral:piRNA from 1 species
UCCCUAUUGCUGGGAGGUUGGACUUGC